CCUACGGGUGGCAGCAGUGAGGAAUAUUGGUCAAUGGGCGCGAGCCUGAACCAGCCAAGUAGCGUGAAGGAUGACUGCCCUACGGGUUGUAAACUUCUGGUAUAAAGGAAUAAAGUGAGGCACGUGUGCCUUUUUGUAUGUACUUUAUGAAUAAGGAUCGGCUAACUCGGUGCUAGCAGCCGCGGUAAUACGGAGGAUCCGAGCGUUAUCCGGAUUUAUUGGGUUUAAAGGGAGCGUAGAUGGGGUGUUAUGUCAGUUGUGAAAGUUUGCGGCGCAACCGUAAAAUUGCAAUUGAUACUGGCAGCCUUGAGUACAGUUGAGGUAGGCGGAAUUCGUGGUGUAGCGGUGAAAUGCUUCGAUAUCACGAAGAACUCCGAUUGCGAAGGCAGCUUACUAAACUUCCACUGACAUUGAUGCUCGAAAGUGUGGGUAUCAAACAGGAUUAGAUACCCCUGUAGUC
rnacentral:rRNA from 1 species